GUGCUCAGUUUGGCAGCCCAAAUACAAAAUUUGAAAUGACACAGAGAAGAUUACCACAGUCCCUUGUGUGCAAGGAUAACACACAAAUUUGUGAAGCUUUCUAUAUUCUU